CUGGCUUCCUCCCCGCUCCCCACCCGGGCCUCAGUUUCCCAUCCAUAAAAGGACCAAGGCCCUUUCCACCCCCAGAGGUCUGAAUGCGGCUGCCCGGCGGGCCUGGCCAGCUGUGCCCUCUCCCGGGUCCGGCCCUCCCUCCUCCCCGCAGGCGCGGGCGGGCUCAGGAGAGGGCCGGGGCCUUGGCUCCUGAGCAGCGCUGUCAGGGCACCCUGCAUGGGGUCCCAUGGCACAUGUGGGCCCUCCCUGCCUGGGGGCUGAGGACACGGUGGCGACUAAGAGCGACCCCUCCCGAUCACCGCGGGGAAGGUCAUUGCCGUGAGCCCAGCGCAGGCCCCCAGGGAAGGGCCCACCUUCGACUCUCCCUACAGGGCGGCGCACCCCAGCUCUUGUUCAUGCGCUCACUCACCUCGGGCUGUUUCCUCCAUCCCCCCGCGUCCCUGGAAAUGCCAGUGACCCGGGCACGGGGCAGGGGGCUGCCAGGUGCCUUUCUCCUGCUUCCUGUGCCCCCCGGCACCACCCCCUCCCCGGGCCGCACGCCCCUUCCCUUCUCCCCCGACCUGAGUCUCUCCCGCAGGCAGAGUACAGGCUGUGCAGUGGGUCCGACAAGGAAUGUGUGUCCCCAACAGCCAAGGUCACCAAGAAGGAAGCUCUCAAGGCGCAGAAGGAGAGCUACCGCCAGGAGAAGAAGCGUGCCACCAAGCAGCUGCUGAGCGCCCUGACCGACCCCAGCGUGGUCAUCAUGGCCGACAGCCUGAAGGUGAGCAGGACGCCUCGGCUCCGCCGGGAGGGCUCCCUGGGGGCACGCAAAGCCACCAGCCGCUCAGGGGUCAGUUAGCCACAGUGGUUGCUGCAAAGCUCCAUCAGGGUCCUGGGGCUGCCCCAACAAAGGGCCCCACGCAGGUGGCUUAAAACAAGAAAGUGGUGCCAGGUCCAGAGGCCAGUGUCUGAGGUCAAGGUCCUGGCAGGGCCAGGCUCCUUCCUGAGGCUGUAAAGGAGGGUCCUUGCCAGCCCCUCUCAGCUUCUGGGGCCCCAGGCAUUGCUGGGCUCGUGGCCGCAUCCCCCCAGUCUCUGCCCCACAGACACCUGGCCUCCCCAGUGUCUCUGUGUCUAUAGGGACACAGUCACUGGACCAGGACCCGCCCUGUGCCAGCGUGACCUCGUCUUCAGUUGGUCAUGUCCACAGAGACCCUAUUUCUUUCUUU
rnacentral:lncRNA from 1 species